AACGAACGCUGGCGGCAUGCCUAACACAUGCAAGUCGAACGAGACCUUCGGGUCUAGUGGCGCACGGGUGCGUCACGCGUGGGAACCUGCCCUUAGGUUCGGAAUAACUCCCCGAAAGGGGUGCUAAUACCGGAUAAUGUCUUCGGACCAAAGAUUUAUCGCCUUUGGAUGGGCCGGCGUUGGAUUAGCUAGUUGGUAGGGUAAAAGCCUACCAAGGCGACGAUCCAUAGCUGGUCUGAGAGGAUGAUCAGCCACACUGGGACGGAGACACGGCCCAGACUCCUACGGGAGGCAGCAGUGGGGAAUAUUGGACAAUGGGCGAAAGCCUGAUCCAGCAAUGCCGCGUGAGUGAUGAAGGCCUUAGGGUUGUAAAGCUCUUUUACCCGGGAUGAUAAUGACAGUACCGGGAGAAUAAGCUCCGGCUAACUCCGUG
rnacentral:rRNA from 1 species